CGGGCCCAUUUGCUCCCAUCUUCCCCGCGGCUUGUCCUAGGGGCGGUCUCUGUUGCCCUGGGUUACGGGACACGUGUAUCCUAGUCGGCCUGACCCCGGGAGGCGGGCGUGGUACGUUGGGGGUGGUGGCAGCAGCGGCAGGUUUUCCCAUGGAGCCGGUCCAUUUGCUCCCAUUUCCCCCCAUGGUUUGCCCUGAGGGCUGUCUCUGUUGUCCCAAGUUCGCCGGACGUCCAUCUCCAGGUCAGCCUGCUCCCUAGAGGAGGCCACCGUGAGGUCAGGGGGCAAGAGAGGUGGCUGCUUCAGGGAAGCCGGAUGCCCGUCUCCAGGUGACAUUUUAGGUUAUUGGGUCACAGAUUGCUGGCACACUCAUCCCUGUUCUCAAAUAUCUUUUAAACUUGGGUGAAGUGAUAAGUAGGGGAAGAUGAUUUACUGAAAGCAAUGCAGAGUCUCCCGAGAACAGAUUCAGACUGAACAGAUUUGUGUCAGACUUUGGGAGACCGCUGGUGCCCCAGAUGUUCUCUGGCAGGUCAAUGACGAAUCUAGGUCCAUCUUUCACUGCUACGUCAAUGAAGUGGGCCACUUCGACAAGGCCAAAGCUAGUAUCCCCACCAUAGCCCUUGACAGUGAUGUUCGGCUCCAGGAAGCCAUCAGAUGCAGCGGACGGCCAGAGGAGGAGCCGAACUUGCCCAUGAAAUGUGACAUCCCCAACUUCAUCAACACGGACCAGAACUCUUCCUUUGGGGAAGAUGAUCUGAUUUUCGAACCACCGAAUGUUCUAGAAAAUAAGCCAGUUGCCCAGACCCCACACAAAGACUUGAGUUGAGAAACGUGCUUUGUCAGGUGUCUUUUUGAAGAUAUGAAUUUUGUCUUUGUAUGGCAGGAAGUCCCGUUUCACAAAAUUGUAUGUGUUUUUCUCUGAGAGAGAGAAAUGGAGACAGACAGAAAGACGAAGAAGCAGAAGAGAGCGCCCUCAGAAGAGAGCUAGUUAAGCAUCCCAGACUGACGAAGACAGUGGAGAAUGCCUCUGAGUUUGGCACUGAUUGCCUGGAGAAUGCUGAAACCCAGGGAAGUGGGCAGCACAGACGUUUACUCAUUUAAUCCUGCCAACACAGUAGGAGAUAGAGUCCACAUAUUCCUCGCUACUUAAAAGAUCCCUGCCUUCUCUCUGUUCCUCCUGUCCAUGUCUCUUCCUCCACUUUUCCCCUUCUCCCGUCCUCCUCCCAUCUUCUCCGUCCCUUGCUUCCCCACCUUCUCUCACAGAACUCGGAGAGGAUCGCUGGCCCUCCUGCGCAUGCGCAGUCUUUGCCAGCUGGAAUGAGGGUUGGAAGCUCCAGCUCCGAGCCGGGGAUCGGCCCCAAAGGCUGCUCAGCUCUUUCGCCCGGUAGGACAUUUGCUCCUGCCCCGGCGCCCCGGCCACAGCUGUCCAGGGUCAGGUGUGCACCUGCCGCCUCUCGCCCCAGCCGGGCUCCCCUGUGUCCGUGGCUGGCGUCCCUUUCCCUUCUCCCACCCGCGAGUCCUCUCCUCCCGGGCUGCCUCUCCUCGGCCGCCGGCCCGUCCCCGCCCCUGGGCGGGCUGUGUCCCGGGCGGGCGGGGUCUGCGGACCCGGACGGGGGCGGGCGGCUGGGGCUGGGGCUGGCCUCCGAGCGGGGCUACAGCCCGCGUACCCACCCCCGCUUUCCCUGCCCCGCGACCCCGGGGCUGCCCUCCUCUCCCUUUCCCGCCCCCUGGGGACCAGCUCAGUGGCGUCUGCGCUGCUCCCCCGGCUGAGUGCCUCCGGCUGUAAACCCCAGCUUCUCCUGGUGGAGUCGGGAAAAGGGAGCGUCAGUGCUGAGCGAGCUUCAGUCUCCUCCCUCAGUGUUUCUGCCCCAGAUGAGCUGGCAGAUGUAGUGGCCUGGGCAAAGCUGAGGACACAGAUGCCAGCACCGUGCCACUCCCAGGCUGGCUCCAUUCCCGUCACCUGUCACCUCCUGCUGAGUCCCCAGGCGUCAGUCAAUGUCGGUACAUCGGUGCAACACAUCACCAGGGCACAUGUGGGGUUUGUGCCUGCAGGCUGGAAUGCUGCUGGACUCCCUGAUCCAUCACCGUUAUGUCCUGGAGCUGCUCCGGUCAGUGAAUGAUUUUCUGUGGCUUCUAGUACGUUUUGGUUACUGAGUCCCUCGAAUUCCCAUAUGAAUAGUAGCAGCAGCUAGUCAGUUACUGCAGAGGAGCCCGCUGGGAUUGUGAUCGAGACCACGUUGAGUAUACAGAUCGCUCUGGGGAGCACUGCCAUCCCAAGAGCGUUGUCAUGUGAUCCAGGAAUGUGCGUGGUGUGUCUGUACAGAGUUCUAUGUAUAGUUGGUUACAUUCUAUACCUGGAAAUUUCUCCAAAACUGCUUCCCACGUGCCCUCACCUCCAGUGGCAUCCAUCCAGACACCAGCACUGACACUGGCCGUGCUCAGAACUGCCUCAGCCCUGAAGACACAACUGACAAAUAGAAGGGGGCUACGCCCUAUGACAGCAGGUGCUCUCACUUUGUGGGUCCUUAUGUAACUGCACGAUGUUAAUCAGGAUCGCCCGUUCUACACUGUGUGACGCUGCUGCCGUGUCUCCUAGUUAUUUCUGAUCUGAGAAGCAGGAGCAAGGAACUCAGGGAGAGAUCCAGGAAGACAUCUGACUCUGUUAAGAGACGACAGUCACAGCGACACGGGGAGCGAGGACACUUGCAGCAAAGUAAAAUGACUUCACAACUAUUGCAUCAGAGCUGCAGGUGUGAGAGAGCCUAAGCCUGUCUCAGAGUGCAGGGGACAAGAGGAAAGGAAUGUGUAAGAAUGCCGGUGACUCAGUUAGAAGCAUGCAUCCAACCCGUCCUUCCGUGUCAUCACCAUCUAGAAUCGGUGCCUGAAUCUUCUGAAUUUCUCCAGAAUGUGGUUUAAAAUCACCUUCGACAAUUGAGUGUGUGUCCUCUUACAAGUGGAGGAAUUGCUGCCGUUUCCCUGGAACUUACUCACCACUAGUCCAUCUGAUUUUUCUGUGCUAGGAUUCAGUAUGGCAUGCUAAAAAUUCUGCAGUCAGAUCUUGAAACACUGAUGAAGAGGAUUAUUUAUUUUA